rnacentral:rRNA from 1 species
CCUACGGGAGGCAGCAGUGAGGAAUAUUGGUCAAUGGACGAGAGUCUGAACCAGCCAAGUAGCGUGAAGGAUGACUGCCCUAUGGGUUGUAAACUUCUUUUAUAUGGGAAUAAAAUGUUCCACGUGUGGGAUUUUGUAUGUACCAUAUGAAUAAGGAUCGGCUAACUCCGUGCCAGCAGACGCGGUAAUACGGAGGAUCCGAGCGUUAUCCGGAUUUAUUGGAUUUAAAGGGAGCGUAGGUGGAUUGUUAAGUCAGUUGUGAAAGUUUGCGGCUGAACCGGAAAAUUGCAGUUGAAACUGGAAGUCUGGAGUACGUAAGAGGGGUGCGGAAUGCGUGGUGUAGCGGUGAAAUGCGUAGAUAUC